rnacentral:tRNA from 2 species
UACUGUGAAGCUAAAAUGCAUUAACCUUUUAAGUUAAAGAUUGAGAGCCUAAACCUCUCCACAGUGG